GAAUAAGAGGAGGGAAGCCAGCCUUUGUUUCUCUCUCCUCGGUACGCAACUCAGCUCGAUGGCAAUGGCUCUGCUCUCUCCCUCUUCUCAUCCUGCAAUUAGCUUGCCGCCACUUAGACUGCGAGCCUGCUCAUCUUACCCCCGCCCCGAGAAGGUGGUGGUCACGAGAGAGCGGGGAAAGAAUGCCAAGCUUAUGCACACCCUGGGUAAGCAUGGCAUUUGUUGCUUGGAGGUGCCGUUGGUUGAGCAUACACAAGGACCUGAUUUGAAGAGACUUUCUUCUAUGUUAAGUGAUAAUACAUUUGAUUGGGUUAUUAUUACUUCUCCAGAAGCAGGAUCUGUAUUCCUUGAUGCAUGGAGGGAGGCGGGAUAUCCAAAAGUUCAAAUAGGUGUAGUUGGUGCUGGUACAGCCAGUGUAUUUGACAAAGUAGUGCAAUCUUCUGAAAGCCCAUUGAAUCUUGCUUUUUGUCCAUCCAAAGCAACAGGCAAGGUUUUAGCUUCAGAGCUUCCAAUGCGUGGGAAGACUUGUACCGUGCUAUAUCCUACUUCGAUGAAGGCAAGCAAUGAGAUUGGGGGCAGCCUCUCUGAUCGUGGAUUUGUGGUGACAAGACUAAAUACCUACUCCACGGUGCCUGUUCAAGAAAUAGACCAAGACAUCCUAAUGCAAGCACUGAGUGCACCUGUGGUGGCGUUGGCUUCUCCUUCUGCUGCCGGUGUUUGGGCUGACAUCAUUGCGAGAUCAGAGAAUUGGGACAACUCUGUUGCUUGCAUUGGUGAGACAACUGCUUUAGCAGCAAGGAAGUUAGGCUUCAAGUAUAUAUAUUACCCAAGAAACCCAGGCCUUGAGGGGUGGGUGGAUAGCAUUCUUGAAGCCUUGAGAAUCCAUGAUUUACCUCCAAAGGCAAUGAUUGGUUAACAAGAGAAGCUGUGGGAGAAACAACACGUCCUCUCAUGGGUGAAAUUCAAAUCAUGGUGGAAGCAUCAGAGGACUUGGAGGUCGAGGUGGAAGAACUAAGUUUCAUCCUAAUCAAUGUCAUGGCUGAGAUGGAAUGAUGUAUCUUUGAACAACGUUUGGAAGUAGCAAAUACCUUUGAAGUUGAGAGAUUGAUUUGGCAGGUUACCCAGGCUGCAGUUCUUUGAGAGAUAUGGAAGGAAAGAAAUAAUGGAGUUUCUGAAAGUGAAACCGUGGAGCUGGAAGUGGUGAAGAGAAUGAUUAUUCAUAAUAUUGGAGGUAGAUGUGUCGGUGGAUAUUAGAAAUCUAAUGAGCCAAAGGACAAUCAAGGUUCGACCAAAAUAUAUUUGGUGUCCACCAGUACAUGUUACACUUAGAUAGGAGUUCACAUGGUAACUUGGGUGCAGCUGGCUUUUUUUUUUUCGUUUUUUGGG